GCCUACAGCCAUCCCACCCUGAAAGUGCCCGAUCUCGUCUGAUCUCAGAAGCCAAGCAGUGUCGUGCCUGGUUAGUACUUGGAUGGGAGAGCGCCUAGGAAUACCAGGUGUCGUAGGCU
rnacentral:rRNA from 1 species